rnacentral:rRNA from 1 species
UACAGAGGGUGCAAGCGUUAAUCGGAAUUACUGGGCGUAAAGGGCGCGUAGGCGGUGAAUCGGGUUGAAAGUGAAAGUCGCCAAAAAGUGGCGGAAUGCUCUCGAAACCAAUUCACUUGAGUGAGACAGAGGAGAGUGGAAUUUCGUGUGUAGGGGUGAAAUCCGUAAAUAUACGAAGGAACGCCAAAAGCGAAGGCAGCUCUCUGGGUCCCUACCGACGCUGGGGUGCGAAAGCAUGGGGAGCGAACAGG